UUGUACGCCACUUGAGCCCGCCGUCUCCCUCGCUAAUGAUACCGGCGGAGGCUCUCUGGGGAACGGCGUCCGUCGCGCGCGCCUUGGCUUUCGCGUCUCCGGCACCAGGACGGUCUGGAGUCAUCUGUGAAUCAAAGCUAAUAGUUGAAGAGAGUUGCAACACUUCUGCCGGCUGUUGCCUCAGUCUGUCACUGGACGGAGAAGAUCACAUCGUCGACGUUAUGGACAAAGAAAAAUACCCACAGUGGACAUUAUUAUGUUUUUCCCUUGCAGAAUCGCCCCACUCCUGCGUCUGCAAACACUGCACUUGGGAGCAUUGAAAAGAGCUGACUGCCCUCAAACACAUGCGGUGCACUUUCCAGGAAAACACACAAAGAACUCUGUAACGUGAAACGAAAGCUGACAGCGGCGAUCUCAAAACGCAACGUGACGUUGUGUCGGCCAGUACACCGGUUUUCCCCUCGGCUUUUCUUGCAUUUGUCCACAGAAAAACACACCUCAUUAUCUUUCGCAGAGUAAAUGAUGUAGAUCACGUUGAACGUUUUCGUUUAAUUUAAAUAAACGGAUAAAUACAUACAGUGUGAAAUGGGUCCA
ensembl:lncRNA